UGUGUUGUGCGGUUACCGUUCGCUUGCGCUUUAUUUUGCGCGCCACGGAGGAUUCGGUGAGGAGAGACAAAGACAACGAAGAAGACGUGCUGCUCGAUCGGAGCUGUUCUGCUGUAUUGCCGGCUAUUGCUUGUCGUGUUGUUACGGCGACAAUAUGCUGUUAUAGGCAUCACUAUAGUAGCAGACGAGGGGGGGGGGGUGAUAAGUUGAGCAAUCAGGUUGAUAUGUCUUGCAAAAAACACUCAUUUUCAAGAAAGAAAGAAGUGAUAACGAGAGGAAUAAGAAAAAAGAAGGAGAAAAGAAAAGUAAAUGCGACAGCCCUUCGUUCUUGGACAUCGCUUAAUGAUGCUGAUGUAUCAAGCAUUCUUUCAUGCAUUCUUUCUUAUCACCGUUUUUUCUCUAUUUUCAGGUGGGAGCUGCAACGUAGAGCAAGUGGUCUAUUUAAGCCAUACUCGAAAAUGUGCGGUGCUCAUAGUAACCCAAAGUUAUCCAACUCGCACACAAUAUAUGGAUCUGAGAAUUAGAAACUCUUCCGUUGAGAGUGGUCCUGAAAUGGAGUGUCUCCAAAAGUUUGACAGCUACCGUCAACCAGGAUAUCGCGUUUAUACAAGAGACUGCCAGAGAAUUCUUCAGCCCGGCUGUCAAGUCUCGAACUGCAUCUAUGGAUAAAAUUCGGCAGAACGAAAAAUUGUCAACGCAUUUGGGGGAAACGUUUGAAGACCGGAAUGUGUGUAAAACAAACAAUAAAAAUAUAUGAAUUUAUCCGAAUGUCAGUAAUAUAGAGGGCGUCUUCAUUGAGGUGGCCAAACAUUUAUAAAGGAUAAUACUGCUGU